rnacentral:rRNA from 1 species
UACGUAGGGUGCAAGCGUUGUCCGGAAUUAUUGGGCGUAAAGAGCUCGUAGGCGGUCUGUCACGUCGGCUGUGAAAACCCGAGGCUCAACCUCGGGCCUGCAGUCGAUACGGGCAAACUAGAGUACUGCAGGGGAGACUGGAAUUCCUGGUGUAGCGGUGAAAUGCGCAGAUAUCAGGAGGAACACCCGGUGGCGAAGGCGGGUCUCUGGGCCGGAUACUGACGCUGGAGGAGCGAAAGCGUGGGGAGCGAACAGG